rnacentral:misc_RNA from 1 species
ACAACUUUAUUUGUCAUCCUCCGGAGUUCUUCGCUGUUCCAACGUUCUCUAGUUCCUUUGUUCAUGAUGGGUUCCUUCAUUGUUGCUGUUUCAUGCCUUUUCGCUGUCAUUAGCGCUCGUCCCCAAUAUGGAAAAGGUGGUAAUGUAGGCAUGUCUAACAUGAUGAUGAACAUGAUGCCAGCUAACAUGGGCAUGAACAUGGUGCCAGCUAACAUGGGCAUGAACAUGAUGCCAGCUAACAUGAACAUGAUGCCAGCUAACAUGAACAUGAUGCCAGCUAACAUGAACAUGAUGCCAGCUAACAUGAACAUGAUCCCAGCUAACAUGAACAUGAUCCCAGCUAACAUGAACAUGAUCCCAGCUAACAUGGGCAUGAAUAUGAUGCCAGCUAACAUGGGAAUGAACAUGAUGCCAGCCAACAUGGGAAUGAAUAUGAAGAAUGGAGCAAUGAACACCAUGAUGCCAGCUAAUAUGGGCAUGAACAUGAUGAUGCCAGCUAAUAUGGGCAUGAACAUGAUGAUGCCAGCUAAUAUGGGCAACAUGAUGAUGCCAGCUAAUAUGGGCAACAUGAUGAACAGAGCUAUGAACAUGAUGAUGAUGCCAAUGAAUAUGGGUAUGAUGAAUGGUGGAAACAAUGGCGGUAUGCCCAAUGCUAUGAUGGGAAACAUGAUGGGAGCUGGUAACAACAAAAUGAAAUCUCUCUAUUAAGUUUUUAAUACACCAACAUACACUGGAUCAUAGAGGAAGGACCCCGGGGAUGAACUAGAUUUUUUUCCAUUGCACAUUGAAUAAAAUUUGUAUUCAAAUUC